AUUAGAGGCAAAAAAAAAGCCUUAUUAAAUAAGUCUUUGCAAUAUGGAUUAGCAUUUUGAGAAACAGUCGAGAAAAUUUCCUCAACAACGUUACUGAGUUGUUUUAAAUGUUUCACUUCCUUCAACUUUAGUUUCUUAUUUAAAAUGUGGCUAUUGAUAGGGACAGCCGAGUCUGUGUGUGUGUGUGUGUGUAUUUAAUAGACGUUUUUGUUUAGAGCAGUUUUAAAUUUACAGAAAAAUUGAGAAGAAAGAUCAGAGCGUUCCCGUAUAUCUGGCACCCGGUUUCACCUAUUUAUUAACAUCUUAUAUUUGCAUAGUACUUUUGUUAAAAUUAACGAACCAAUGUUGAUACGUUGUUCUUGACUGAAGUCGUUAUUCAGAUUUCUUUAACUUUUACCUAAUGUCCUUUUUCUGUUCCAGGAGACCACAUUACAUUUAGUCUUCUUGUCUCCUUGGGCUCCUCUUGGCUGUGACAGUUUCUCACACUUUCCCGUCUUUGAGGACCUCCACAGUUUUGAGGAGUACUGUGAUCUGAGGUAAUACAGCAAGUACUGCGAGAGUACAGACGAGAGAGAGCCCAUUUCCUGCUGGAGAGACUGAGGAAGGCCUCGUGGAGAGAGCAGUGUUCCAGCUGGGCCUCGAAGGGCUCCACAUAUGGCGAAGAACUGCUGAUUCCCUAAACCUCUUUCUUCUCCAGGCCACUUCCAGGCACAUGUCCUGGCUGUUUCCUGUGUGAUCAAGGGAAACAGCCCAGAGGAAAGAAGACAGAAGGGGCAUGAUAGCUGCUAUCAAGUAUUUUAAAGUCUGUCAUCUGGAAGGAUUGAAUAUGUGGUGGGGAGACCAGACUGUGUGCAAGUUGUGUUCGUCAUAGGAUUCAGCGUUGCCCAGAAUGGCCUGGAGGACCUUAUGGCGCUGGAGUCUCCUCUCUCGAGCUGUAUGAACAAAACACUUGAAAAAACCCACUCACUAGAUUGUUCCAAAGCUGGAUCAUUCUGCUAAAGAUUGGUAGGGAAGUUAUAGUGGAGGCAAGAAAGGAAGAAAGUGUCCACGACAUUUAUUUCCUUAGAAGCAGUUAAUGCUUACCUCAAAUAUACUUGUGGAAUACCACUCAGCCAUAAGAAAUGAUGAAAUCCAGCCAUUUGUGACAAUGUGGAUGAACCUUGAAGGCAUUAU